rnacentral:lncRNA from 1 species
UCUCGUGAAGGAGCUCUCACUCAGCUCCUCCUGUACCAUGCCUGCCUGGAUGCUGCCACACUCCCGCCUUGAUGAUAAUGGACUGAAUCUCUGAACCUGUUGCAGUGCUGAGCUACACCGAUGGGAAGAGUCACGUGAACAGGACUUGUACAGAAUGCCCCCUUCUUCGAGGAAGCCACCUUGGUCUACCAGAGGUCAUACCCCCUUUCCUGAUCUCUUAGUUUUCCAGCUGACGGAUUAAUUCUGCUUGGAACCCGUAUCUCUCCCAUGGUUUGUACCUGAGCUGGGUCCCAUCAGCUUGGUUCUGGUCUUGUGGUUCUCCGUUCUGGAGCAUGCAAAGGCCCUAAGUCAGGGAAUGGGUCUGACUGGCGUUCUGAUUGGAAGUUCCAACCAGAGCGAAGGGGAGGUGACUGUGUUUCUUAUCUCAAGUGUCUUGAUCCAUUAUCCACUCACUCCUGACCAUUUUAACCUGUGCCAGGCCCUGUAAUCCGUGCCAGGGAGCCUCCAUUAGGUCUACCUCGCCACGCCCUGGCAUCGGGGCUCCCAGCGUUGUGGCGGUCCUCUUCCUCUUGUUUUCAGGUUCUAUGUCCCAGGACAGGAAGACGCUCAACCUCCGAAGCCCCCAUCUAUUCCUGACCUCAGGUUCCGAGCGGUGCUGCCCCUAACCCCGAGUCCCGCGCGUCUUC